UUGAACGCUGGCGGCAUGCCUUACACAUGCAAGUCGAACAGCAGCACGGGUGCUUGCACCUGGUGGCGAGUGGCGAACGGGUGAGUAAUACAUCGGAACAUGUCCUGUAGUGGGGGAUAGCCCGGCGAAAGCCGGAUUAAUACCGCAUACGAUCUACGGAUGAAAGCGGGGGGCCUUCGGGCCUCGCGCUAUAGGGGUGGCCGAUGGCUGAUUAGCUAGUUGGUGGGGUAAAGGCCUACCAAGGCGACGAUCAGUAGCUGGUCUGAGAGGACGACCAGCCACACUGGGACUGAGACACGGCCCAGACUCCUACGGGAGGCAGCAGUGGGGAAUUUUGGACAAUGGGCGAAAGCCUGAUCCAGCAAUGCCGCGUGUGUGAAGAAGGCCUUCGGGUUGUAAAGCACUUUUGUCCGGAAAGAAAUCCUUGGCCCUAAUACGGUCGGGGGAUGACGGUACCGGAAGAAUAAGCACCGGCUAACUACGUG
rnacentral:rRNA from 1 species